rnacentral:lncRNA from 1 species
CCGGAUCGCGGUUGCCCAGCGCGCUGUGCCCUGCCGGGGGCGGGCCACGUUUGAUCUCCGGGCCCGCAGCAAGGGAUCGCGAAGGUAUUGAUCUAGGCGCUGCUGUGAAGGGAAUUUGCAGAUGUAAUUGGCCUAAAUCAGUUGGCUUUAAUAUCAGGAAAUUGUCCUCAGUGGGCAUGGCCAUAUGGAGCCCUUACAAGGGACUGGGCUCUUCCUGGUGAAAAAGAUUUGAAUCACGAGAGUGGCUGAUAUGAGGGAAAUUCUUUGCUGUUGCCUUCGAAGACAGAAGAGGUCCACAAGGCAAAGGAUGCAGACAGCCUGUAGGAGCUGAGACUGGCUCCUGGCUGACAGCCAGCAAGGAAAUGAGGACCUCAGUCCUCCAAUCAUGAAGCAGACUCCGACUUCUGCUAACAACCUGAAUACACUUCAAAGAGGAUUCUGAGCUCCAGCCGCCUACACAUUGAUUUCAGCUGUUGGGACCCUCAGCCGAGAACCCAGCUAUGCCGUGCCCAGAUGUAAGACCUACACAUCUGUGAGCUUGAUGCUUCCUGCCCUCAAACAUUGGACUCCCAGUUCUACAGUUUUGAGACUGGGACUGGCUCUCCUUGUUCCUCAAGCUUGCAGACAGCCUAUUGUGGGAUCUUGUGAUCGUACUCUCUGUGGCCCAGGCUGGAGUGCACUGGUGCCAUCUC